ACGUAUCCACGUAUCAACUCGAGAACUGUCCCCUUUAGAGUAAACACUUGUGGAUGGAGUUUAUGACUGAAUGACUUCGCUGAUGGAGUUCACGGAUUUUUAUCUGAGAACUGAAAGGCUUUCGGUCGCUGGCUCAAACGCUUGCGUUUUUGCUGGGACUUCGUUUACUCUACUGCGGUUAUUACCAUCGGCGUCUGUUUCACCAUUAUUAACCCUUUGAAAAUUAUGAACUGAACUUGAAAACUUGCUGCGGCUUCCGUCGUUGGCCUCGGUCACGGGAUGCUUAACGUAGCUUCGUUUUCCUCAUUACAAAACAAAAGAACAACUCUUAGCAACGGAUAUCUUGGUUCU
rnacentral:misc_RNA from 1 species